UAGGCCCCGAUAAUUGGCUGUCAUUUUGCAUAGUGGUGGCACUCUGGCUUUGGGGCAAAUGACUGUGGUCUUAUCUUUCACUUUUAAGGAAAAAUAAUGGACAAUUUAUCAUUAAUCUUCUCUGGGAAAUAAUAACAAGUUAAAUGUCAUUCCCCUUGUCGUGCCUUACAAAUAAAAUUGUGUUGCUCUGGGCCUGGGCUGAUCACUGACUGACCUAUCCUCUUCACUGUGAAGGUAGAGGAGAAAUCCAACACUGCGAGCAGGGCGACGGCAGGUUGGACCAGAAAACAUGAACAUAAAUCCUCUGCAAUGCCUAACGAUGAACGAGGGAGAUCAUAACUCUCCCACAGUGAAUGGAAAGAGGGAGGUCUGACAUUGCUCUGAGUGCUGUUGUUCUCGCGGCUGCGUCAAUAGCAGCGGCGGGAGUUGACCGUGACAGUUAAGAACCGCCGUGAACCGUCGGGCACGUCUGGGUGUCCUCGGAGCAGAGGGGACGGGACAGAGGCAGACGGGCCUGCCUCGACGGAUCAUGGUGGUGCUCAGGCCCAGGGUUUGUCGCUCGGAAGCAACAAACACGCAGGGAUUUGUGGUAGGCUGACAGCUUGUCCUGCUUUGUUUAACUUUCAUAGAGGUGGAUGGGGAGGCUUGGAAUGAUUCGAGGGCCCCGGGUGUGAUCUGAGACCAAGGAAGCAGCUCCCCUGAUCUGUCUGCUUCUCUGGGUGUGUUUCAGGGACAACAACCCAAGCAGCUUCAGACAAUAUGAUACUGCUCAGCUGGUUCAGGAUCAGUGGAUUUUUGGUUGAAAUGAAUCCCAUGUACCUGCAGUGUCCCCAGUUUGAUUCCAGCUGGGAAACUACGCGAAUGACAUGUUUGUUCUCUCUGAACUCUCCGCUCUUCUAUUUAAAUGGCAGGGUUUUUCUUAGGAGUUAAAGGUUCUGUAGGUGGCGCUCUAAGCUUUGCCUGUUGAGCUACAGUGACUACUCGUCCUCCUCCGUCUUCCUGCUGUUGCUGUCCGUGACUUCAGCAUGAGUUUGUGUUUUA